ACAUGCAGUCGAGCGGCAGCGGGAAAGUAGCUUGCUACUUUUGCCGGCGAGCGGCGGACGGGUGAGUAAUGCCUGGGAAAUUGCCCAGUCGAGGGGGAUAACAGUUGGAAACGACUGCUAAUACCGCAUACGCCCUACGGGGGAAAGCAGGGGACCUUCGGGCCUUGCGCGAUUGGAUAUGCCCAGGUGGGAUUAGCUUGUUGGUGAGGUAAUGGCUCACCAAGGCGACGAUCCCUAGCUGGUCUGAGAGGAUGAUCAGCCACACUGGAACUGAGACACGGUCCAGACUCCUACGGGAGGCAGCAGUGGGGAAUAUUGCACAAUGGGGGAAACCCUGAUGCAGCCAUGCCGCGUGUGUGAAGAAGGCCUUCGGGUUGUAAAGCACUUUCAGCGAGGAGGAAAGGUUGAUGCCUAAUACGCAUCAGCUGUGACGUUACUCGCAGAAGAAGCACCGGCUAACUCCGUGCCAGCGCG
rnacentral:rRNA from 1 species